rnacentral:rRNA from 1 species
UACGUAGGGUGCGAGCGUUGUCCGGAAUUAUUGGGCGUAAAGAGCUCGUAGGCGGUUUGUUGCGUCUAUCGUGAAAACCCGCAGCUUAACUGUGGGCUUGCGGUGGAUACGGGCAGACUUGAGUUCGGUAGGGGAGACUGGAAUUCCUGGUGUAGCGGUGAAAUGCGCAGAUAUCAGGAGGAACACCGGUGGCGAAGGCGGGUCUCUGGGCCGAUACUGACGCUGAGGAGCGAAAGCGUGGGGGAGCGAACAGG